UACAGAGGGUGCAAACGUUGUUCGGAAUUACUGGGCGUAAAGCGCGUGUAGGCGGCCCGGCAAGUCGGAUGUGAAAUCCCACGGCUCAACCGUGGAAGUGCAUUCGAAACUGCAGGGCUGGAGUACUGGAGAGGAAGGUGGAAUGCUCGGUGUAGAGGUGAAAUUCGUAGAUAUCGAGCGGAACACCGGUGGCGAAGGCGGCCUUCUGGACAGUUACUGACGCUGAGACGCGAAAGCGUGGGGAGCAAACAGG
rnacentral:rRNA from 1 species